rnacentral:tRNA from 1 species
GCGGAGAGAGCUCGGUUGGUUAGAGCAAUAGAUUGUGAAUCUAAAGGACGUGGGUUCAAGUCCCAUUCUUCGCC